GAUCCUGGCUCAAGAUGAACGCUAGCUACAGGCUUAACACAUGCAAGUCGAGGGGCAUCAGGGCGUAGCAAUACGCCGCUGGCGACCGGCGCACGGGUGAGUAACACGUAUCCAACCUGCCCUUUACUCGGGGAUAGCCUUUCGAAAGAAAGAUUAAUACCCGAUGGCAUAACAUGACCUCCUGGUUUUGUUAUUAAAGAAUUUCGGUAGAGGAUGGGGAUGCGUUCCAUUAGGCAGUUGGCGGGGUAACGGCCC
rnacentral:rRNA from 1 species